UCCCUGGUGGUCUAGCGGCUAAGGAUCCUGCGCUCUCACUGCCCGGGUCCCGGGUUCGAUUGCCGGGCAGGAAA